CCCGCGUUGGAUUAGCUUGUUGGUGGGGGUAACGGCCCACCAAGGCGACGAUCCAUAGCCGGCCUGAGAGGGUGAACGGCCACAUUGGGACUGAGACACGGCCCAGACUCCUACGGGAGGCAGCAGUGGGGAAUAUUGCACAAUGGGGGAAACCCUGAUGCAGCGACGCCGCGUGAAGGAAGAAGUAUUUCGGUAUGUAAACUUCUAUCAGCAGGGAAGAUAGUGACGGUACCUGACUAAGAAGCCCCGGCUAACUACGUGCCAGCAGCCGCGGUAAUACGUAGGGGGCAAGCGUUAUCCGGAUUUACUGGGUGUAAAGGGAGCGUAGACGGUGUGGCAAGUCUGAUGUGAAAGGCAUGGGCUCAACCUGUGGACUGCAUUGGAAACUGUCAUACUUGAGUGCCGGAGGGGUAAGCGGAAUUCCUAGUGUAGCGGUGAAAUGCGUAGAUAUUAGGAGGAACACCAGUGGCGAAGGCGGCUUACUGGACGGUAACUGACGUUGAGGCUCGAAAGCGUGGGGAGCAAACAAGAUUAGAUACCCUGGUAGUCCACGCCGUAAACGACCAAUAAGGGGGUGUCGGGGAGCAUGGCUCUUUCGGUGCCUUCGCAAACGCAGUAAGAUUCCCCCUGGGGAAGUACGUUCGCAAGAAUGAAACUCAAAAGGAAUUGACGGGGACCCGCACAAGCGGGGGAGCAUGUGGUUUAAUUCGAAGCAACGCGAAGAACCUUACCAAGUCUUGACAUCCGCCUGACCGAUCCUUAAUCGGAUCUUUCCUUCGGGACAGGCGAGACAGGUGGUGCAUGGUUGUCGUCAGCUCGUGUCGUGAGAUGUUGGGUUAAGUCCCGCAACGAGCGCAACCCCUAUCCUCAGUAGCCAGCAUUUAAGGUGGGCACUCUGGGGAGACUGCCAGGGAUAACCUGGAGGAAGGCGGGGAUGACGUCAAAUCAUCAUGCCCCUUAUGAUUUGGGCUACACACGUGCUACAAUGGCGUAAACAAAGGGAAGCGAGAUUGUGAGAUGGAGCAAAUCCCAAAAAUAACGUCCCAGUUCGGACUGUAGUCUGCAACCCGACUACACGAAGCUGGAAUCGCUAGUAAUCGCGGAUCAGAAUGCCGCGGUGAAUACGUUCCCGGGUCUUGCACA
rnacentral:rRNA from 1 species